AACAAACGCUGGCGGCGUGCCUAAUACAUGCAAGUCGAACGGGGAAAGCUUUCGGGUGAGUACUAGUGGCGCACGGGUGAGUAACGUGUGGAUAAUCUGCCUUAGAGUGGGGGAUAACUAGUCGAAAGAUUAGCUAAUACCGCAUAAGACCACAAGAACUGCGGUUCAAGGGGUCAAAGGUUUUUCGCUCUAAGAUGAGUCCGCGUAAGAUUAGCUAGUUGGUGAGGUAAUGGCUCACCAAGGCGACGAUCUUUAACUGGUCUGAGAGGAUGAUCAGUCACACUGGAACUGAGACACGGUCCAGACUCCUACGGGAGGCAGCAGUAGGGAAUAUUGCACAAUGGAGGAAACUCUGAUGCAGCGACGCCGCGUGAGUGAUGAAGGCCUUCGGGUCGUAAAGCUCUGUCGCAAGGGAAUAACACAAUGAAUGUACCUUGCAAGAAAGGAUCGGCUAACUUCGUGCCAGCCGCCGCGGUAAGAC
rnacentral:rRNA from 1 species